AUACGGAGGGUGCAAGCGUUAAUCGGAAUUACUGGGCGUAAAGCGCUCGUAGGCGGCUUGUUAAGUCGGAUGUGAAAGCCCCGGGCUCAACCUGGGAACUGCAUUCGAUACUGGCAGGCUAGAGUAUAGUAGAGGCAAGUGGAAUUCCGGGUGUAGCGGUGAAAUGCGUAGAUAUCCGGAGGAACAUCAGUGGCGAAGGCGACUUGCUGGACUAAUACUGACGCUGAGGAGCGAAAGCGUGGGGAGCAAACGGAAUUAGAUACCCCAGUAGUCC
rnacentral:rRNA from 1 species